UGCCUUCACCCAUGAUUAGGUAUUCUGGGAGCUGAAGUCCAAAUCCCCUGGAAAGCCAUCGUUUGGGAAAAACCGAAUACCCUUCAAAGUUUGCCCAAGCCACCUUAAAUAGAUAAAAGUAUCGUAGAUUGGAAGCAUUGUUGCCAUUGGGUAACAAUGAUAUCUCAACCAGAGCACAUACACAUUUGAAGGUUCAAAAAGACAAAUGAGCAUAGAGUUUGGUUCCAUUCUGCAAGUAUGAGGAUUACCUGGGAAGGAAUCCCACUGGAGCAUUGUAGCACACCAAAAUACCUGGGAGUUACCCUGGACCGUGCUCUGACCUACAAGAAGCACUGCUUGAAUAUCAAGCAAAAGGUGGGUGCUGCUUGAAACAAUAUCCUAUGAAAACUGACUGACACAACUUGGGGAUCACAACCAGAUAUAGUGAAGACAUCUGUCCUUGUGCUUUGCUACUCUGUUGAGUACGCACGCACAGUGUGGAACACAUCUCACCAUAUUAAAACAGUAAAUGUGGUUCUGAAUGAGACAUGCCACAUUAUCACAGGAUGUCUACGCCCUACACCACUGGCAGUAUUAUACUGUUUGGCUGGUAUUGCACCACCUGACAUCUGCCAGGAAGUAGCAGCCAGCAAUGAAAAGACCAAAGCAGUGACAUCUCUGGCCCAUCCUGCUUGGAUAUCAGCCAGCAAUGCCAACAUCUUAAAUCAAGAAAUAGUUUUCUAAGAUCUACAGAGAUACUUGCAGGAAAGCCUCAGCAAGCCAGAAUCCAAAAGUGGCAGGCUAAAACCCGGAACCUCAAUCCAUGGCUGAUACCGAAGGAGAGACUCCCCCCGGUCACACAGAAGACUGGGCAACUUGAAAGGCCCUGAGAUGCAGAGUCAACCUUAAGAAAUGGGGCUACAAAGUGGAGUCCACGACAUGCAAGUGUGGUGAACAGCAAACCACAGAUCACCUAUUACAAUGCAGCCUGAGCCCUGCCACAUGCACAACAGAGGACCUUCUUAUAGCAACACCAGAGGCACUCCAAGUGGGCAGGUAAUGGUCAAAGGACAGUUAGUACAAUGACAAGUUUUAAACUUUGUUUGUUUUAAAUACAUUACAACUGUAACCUUGGUUCAUUUCUGAUACGAAAAAUAAAUAGCAUAGAAUUUUAUCCUUGCUAGUAUAUUGGUACAGAACAGAAACUGAAUUUAUAGAAAAUGUUUUGUGUAACCACAGGGAUAUUUUUAUGAAAUUAUUUUCCACUGAAACACUGCACAAGGGUUUUAUAGACCGUCAUUUUGCUGUCACUCCCUUUGCUACUGAUGCCACUGAAGUGAUCUGGAACAAAGGUUGAAAGGACAACUGAAAUGACUUUGAGCAACUCGGAGAGUCUGGGGCUCAUCAGCUUGGGAAAGAAGGAAGAGGUAGAUGACUUACCUAAUUUGAAAGCCACCCACUUUUAAAAAAUGUUGUUUUAACUCACAAUGCCCUCAUAGAUCCUCCAGAUCACCGCUUAAACUGUGGGUCCCAAGCUCCACUCAAAGUUGGGGGUCACAAAAAAAUCUAACAACAGUAAAACUUUCUGAAUGCCACCCAUUUACCCAAACCUAGUCAUAGCAUCGUAGAGUUGGAAGAGACCUCGUGGGCCAUCCAGUCUAAUCCACUGCCAAGAAGCAGGAAAAUCACAUUCAAUGCACCCUCGACAGAUGGCCAUCCAGCCUCUGCUUAAAAGCCUCCAAAGGAGCCUCCACCACACUCUGGGGCAGAGAGUUCCACUGCUGAACAGCUCUCACAGUUAGGAAGUUCUUCCUAAUGUUCAGCUGGAAUCUCCUUUCCUGUAAUUUGAACCCAUUGCCCCAAGUACUAAUCUCCAAGGCAGCAGAAAACAUGCCUGCUCCCUCUACCAACGUGCAGUAUUUACAGUGAACCUUGCAGUUAAUGCUUCCACUACUUCUGUUUAGCAAGCCUUGCAAAUGCUGAUUAUCAGCAAAUGUUUGGUUUGUAUACCUAUUUUAUAUACCUAUAUACCUGGGGUCAUGUCAACAUUUAUUCAGCGGAAAGGGGCUGCAACUGGAAAACAUUUAAGCUCUAGAACACAUGGAAGCAAUUCUGCCAUGCCUCUUGUUAUUCCUAAGUUCCUCUGGUUUUCCUUCACAGAAAAAGGCAAUGAUUGAAAAUUUUUGUCAGUGUUGAAGUAUUCCACAACAUAAAAUAUGGUAAAAUUGUUCCUCAUAUUUCGGUUUAACAAAAACAAUUCAGAAGACAGAGGAAAGUGGAGCCACAUUUUCAUAACUCCUAAUUUUUCAGCAUUCUGGGCAUUUUCACAUUCUAAAUGUAGCUCUUUAAUCCCAUUGUAUCUCCUCUUCGAAAAUAUACUUAAAGGAGAAAAAAAUCCUCUUAUUUAUGCCUUAGCAAUGUUCCACCUUGUUUUCCAAGAUAUCCCUUCAAUGGCAUUUACUAUAACCCCUUAAAAAUGUUUGAUGUAAACACAUGCAGAAAAUUAAUAUCUUUCAAUAAAAAGUGGUAUCUUAAUUCUUUUUCUAGUAUUUAGACUGGUAGUCAUCAAGAAUGAAGUAUACUGAUGUACAAUCUCCAACUUUCAUAAUCUAAGACCAUAACUUUCAUAAUAAUCUAAUAUUUAAUAAGGUAAUAUCAAAUCUGAAAAGACAGAUAAAUCAAGUUCUAAAAUAACUGUGUGUGGAAUUAAAUAAGAAAAAAUAAGUUGUAAAAAAAAUGUAUGUCAUAAUGACAGCCAUCAGAACAAUACAUUUAAAUUACUUGGUGUUUUAAAAAGGUUUUCAUUUCCAUUACCGGAAGUGUGUUUAGAUCACACACUAAUGCUAUAGCCUUUAGAUUCUACAGGAUUUUAAUGUGUAUCUAAUAUGUAAAAUGAGAAAUCAAAAUGCUUUUUCAUGGCUUGAUUUUUGUAAGAUAUAUAGAUAGCACUAGCAAGAAAGUGCUCUGACAAGACAAUCACAUUUUUAUGUUGAAGGACAAUGGAAGCCUCAAUAUAAGAUGAGUGCAUCACAAGGAACAAGUACACUGGAUUUUGAAAAUAACAAAGUGAACAGAAUCAAACUCAAACAGAGUUUAGUGAUGCUACUAUCCAUUUUAUGGCAGUCAUCCAUUAUACAGACUAUGAAAUCCUGGCAUAAAUUUACUUUAAAUUAUAACCUUUUAAAAGCUAAUUUACAGAGCAUGUAAACAACAGUUUGAAAAUGACACAUAAUUAUGUACAAAAAUUAAAGUUCACUUUGUUUAUCAAUAGAAAGAGAGGCAAGGACAUUUCCACAUUGCACUAGAUUUUUUAACAAAUGACACAAAAAGUAA